ACGCUAAAAGGUGAUCAAAUCAUAUUCUAUUUUUGACAUGCAAAGAGGAAAACAUAUGGUGGAAAUUCUCGAAUUUGUUUAUGCUAUGAUUCUAUUUCUUCCCUUAUUUCUUGUCAUAACGGAAGUUGAUGGUGUAGAUAUUUAUUGUGAAACUGAUGCCGAUUGUCCACAAAUUACAGACUGGUUUUAUGUUGUCAAAUGUGUUGAUCACAAAUGUGAAUUGACUAAAAAGCUUCGCCGAUUAUAUGAGUACCAAACCCAAAAGAGUGCAGAAACACCUUACAUAUGAGAAUGGAUUAUUGUGCUAGUAAAAGAAAUGUGCAAUAUUCAUUAUGAUACAUUUUUCAUGAGCUCUCAUUUAGUUAUUGUACUGCCACACAAUAUUUUUUUCCUUAAUUUCAUAGACCUUGUAGUUACUAUUUUAUACUCUAAAAUGAUAGUAAGGAAUUAAAGAGUUUAUUUAGAUU